AUUUGGCAAUCAUACUUAACCCUAGCUCGCAAACGGUUAAGCAUUAUGGCCUCCAACAACAACAAAACAUCGAAGGGGGGCAGUAGUAAGACGGUUACUCCACAGAAGAUUCAUUCGGCUUCACCAACACCUAAUACUCGACAACAUGAUGCCCUGAAUGCAAGGGCUGCCACGGGGGCAAGUAGCAAGACGGUUACUCCACUGAAGAUUCAUUCGGUUUUGCCAACACCUAAUACUCAACAACCAGAUGCCCUGAAUGCACGUUCUGCCACGGG